GGUCAAAGUAAUAAGAGUCUAUGGUGAAUGCCUAGGAGCUUUAAGGCGAAGAAGGUCGUGGUAAGCUGCGAAAAGCUU
rnacentral:rRNA from 1 species